CUCGUCACACUAUCAUUAACUGAAUCCAUAGGUUAAUGAGGCGAACCGGGGGAACUGAAACAUCUAAGUACCCCGAGGAAAAGAAAUCAACCGAGAUUCCCCCAGUAGCGGCGAGCGAACGGGGAGGAGCCCAGAGCCUGAAUCAGCAUGUGUGUUAGUGGAAGCGUCUGGAAAGGCGCGCGAUACAGGGUGACAGCCCCGUACACAAAAGCGCAUGUGCUGUGAGCUCGAUGAGUAGGGCGGGACACGUGGUAUCCUGUCUGAAUAUGGGGGGACCAUCCUCCAAGGCUAAAUACUCCUGACUGACCGAUAGUGAACCAGUACCGUGAGGGAAAGGCGAAAAGAACCCCGGCGAGGGGAGUGAAAAAGAACCUGAAACCGUGUACGUACAAGCAGUGGGAGCACCCUUUGGGGUGUGACUGCGUACCUUUUGUAUAAUGGGUCAGCGACUUAUAUUCUGUAGCAAGGUUAACCGAAUAGGGGAGCCGGAGGGAAACCGAGUCUUAAUUGGGCGUUAAGUUGCAGGGUAUAGACCCGAAACCCGGUGAUCUAGCCAUGGGCAGGUUGAAGGUUGGGUAACACUAACUGGAGGACCGAACCGACUAAUGUUGAAAAAUUAGCGGAUGACCUGUGGCUGGGGGUGAAAGGCCAAUCAAACCGGGAGAUAGCUGGUUCUCCCCGAAAGCUAUUUAGGUAGCGCCUCGUGAAUUCAUCUCCGGGGGUAGAGCACUGUUUCGGCUAGGGGGCCAUCCCGGCUUACCAACCCGAUGCAAACUGCGAAUACCGGAGAAUGUUAUCACGGGAGACACACGGCGGGUGCUAACGUCCGUCGUGAAGAGGGAAACAACCCAGACCGCCAGCUAAGGUCCCAAAGUCAUGGUUAAGUGGGAAACGAUGUGGGAAGGCCCAGACAGCCAGGAUGUUGGCUUAGAAGCAGCCAUCAUUUAAAGAAAGCGUAAUAGCUCACUGGUCGAGUCGGCCUGCGCGGAAGAUGUAACGGGGCUAAACCAUGCACCGAAGCUGCGGCAGCGACACUCAGGUGUUGUUGGGUAGGGGAGCGUUCUGUAAGCCUGCGAAGGUGGCCUGUGAGGGUUGCUGGAGGUAUCAGAAGUGCGAAUGCUGACAUAAGUAACGAUAAAGCGGGUGAAAAGCCCGCUCGCCGGAAGACCAAGGGUUCCUGUCCAACGUUAAUCGGGGCAGGGUGAGUCGACCCCUAAGGCGAGGCCGAAAGGCGUAGUCGAUGGGAAACGGGUUAAUAUUCCCGUACUUGGUGUUACUGCGAAGGGGGGACGGAGAAGGCUAUGUUGGCCGGGCGACGGUUGUCCCGGUUUAAGCGUGUAGGUGUGUGUUCCAGGUAAAUCCGGUUCACUUUAACACUGAGGCGUGACGACGAGGCACUACGGUGCUGAAGCAACAAAUGCCCUGCUUCCAGGAAAAGCCUCUAAGCAUCAGGUAACAUCAAAUCGUACCCCAAACCGACACAGGUGGUCAGGUAGAGAAUACCAAGGCGCUUGAGAGAACUCGGGUGAAGGAACUAGGCAAAAUGGUGCCGUAACUUCGGGAGAAGGCACGCUGACAC
rnacentral:rRNA from 1 species